GAAGAACUCACUCUCAAAUGGAUUAUGCAAAAUCCAUUGCAGUUUCCAUUUGAGGAUGACAUGGAAUGUGCUCAACAAACUGUAUCUUCAUUGGAUUGCGGCAUGUUCGUCAUGUUCUAUAUGGAUAAAAUAGCACAAGGACAGCCCAUUCCAAAAAGAGUGGACAAGAAAUUCAUGAAUGAAUAUCGAGCACAAUAUGUCACAAAACUCCUACACCACAAAAACUGUGUAAUUAAUCGUCUCUAGUGAUUUGCCUUUCGUUAACUCAAGGCAAUAUGUAUCUUAAUUCUUGUGGAUGUUUGUAAAUAUUUCUAGUUAUGGUAUAUGAGAACAUAUUUC